UUUCAGAGUACGUGAAACCGUUUAGGGGUAAACCUGAGAAACCCGAAAGGUCGAAGGGAGAAAUUCAUUCGCGUCUCGACGCAGGCGUGGGACGGGGUCGAGCGACGGGACGUCGCGCGUUCUUCGGAACCGCGCGUCUCGCGCCCUCCGUCCUUCGAACCGGCGGCGAACGCGUGCACUUUUCUCCUGGUAGGACGUCGCGAUCCGUCGGGCGUCGGUCUACGACCUGCGGUGGAGACCGUCCGUCGCGUCUUUCGUACGUGCGGACGGACCCGCUCGUUCCGGCCGACUCGCUCGACGGUAUACGUAAACCGGUCGGAGGCCGCUCGUAACGCAAAUUUUUUUAUUUGCGUCAAGGAGCGUUCGACCCGUCGCAAGCGCGCCACGUGCGUCGGCACGCGGACCCGGUGCCGCGUCCGACCUCUGGUGACUGUUGGCGACGGUGUUCUCGGACAGACCUCUCUCGUUUUUUGUCGUUUCUCGGCAAAAUUCGAAUGACCGAUCGGCGACGCUAUAGCUUUGGGUACUUUCAGGACCCGUCUUGAAACACGGACCAAGGAGUCUAGCAUGUACGCGAGUCAUUGGGAAUCGCUAAACCUAAAGGCGUAAUGAAAGUGAAGGUCUCCCACUAAUGGGAGACCGAGGGAAGACGGACGGUCGCGUGCCGACCGUCCCGCAUUCCCGGGGCGUCUCGUUCACAUCGCGUGAAGAGGCGCACCAAGAGCGUACACGCUGGGACCCGAAAGAUGGUGAACUAUGCCUGGUCAGGACGAAGUCAGGGGAAACCCUGAUGGAGGUCCGUAGCGAUUCU
rnacentral:rRNA from 1 species